rnacentral:rRNA from 1 species
CACGUAGGGUGCGAGCGUUGUCCGGAAUUAUUGGGCGUAAAGAGCUCGUAGGCGGUGUGUCGCGUCGGCCGUGAAAACCUGCAGCUUAACUGUGGGCUUGCGGUCGAUACGGGCAUCACUGGAGUUCGGCAGGGGAGACUGGAAUUCCUGGUGUAGCGGUGAAAUGCGCAGAUAUCAGGAGGAACACCGGUGGCGAAGGCGGGGUCUCUGGGGCCGAUAUUUGACGCUGAGGAGCGAAAGCGUGGGGGAGCAAACGGG